rnacentral:rRNA from 1 species
AAAGGUAGCAUAAUCAUUUGACUUUUAAAUGGAGCCUAGAAUGAAAGAAAGAACGUAGACAAUUUGUCUCAUUAAUAAUAAUUCAAAAUUACUGCAUGAGUGAAAAUACUCAUAAAUUUAAAAAUAGACGAGAAGACCCUUAGAAUUUUAAAAAUAAAUAAAAAUAUUUUAUAAGGUUUUUUGUUGGGGCAACAAUAUUUCAUGUAAUAAAUAUGAUUCAUUGAAUAAUAGAGCGAUUUAGAUAAUUAUAGUAAAAUUACCUAAGGGAUAACAGCAUAAUUUUAAUGAUAAGCUUGUGACCUCGAUGUUGGACUAGGUACUAUUAAGGCUAAUCGUUUUAAUAUAAUAUGUUCUGUUCGAACUUUACUACCUACAUGAUC